GAUAGGAGAAUGACAAAUCAGAUUUUUUCUUCUGAUUUUUACCUUUUUCCUCCUGAAAAAAAAAAUCAAAUCCAACUAAAAAGACUAAAAAUCAAGAGAAAAAAUCUAAUUUGUCAUUCUCUUAUU
rnacentral:pre_miRNA from 1 species